ACUAUGCUUAAGGUUAGAGAAGAACAAAAACACUUUUGGUUCUCUUGGUGUUUCCCACCAACAGGACCCAUGCACUUGAUCUCUGCCUUGUCUCUAUGAGCAGGUACACUUGGAGCAAAACAUGGUGGAGUUUUACAACUCCCAGAUUCCACCAAGUGAAGGACCUGGAUCUACGAGCACAGACAGACUAAGCAAGAUACUGCCAACGCCGCACUUCGAACUGCUGGGCAAACAAAGAACAUGGGUGACACCGUAUCAAGAGGUGCAGACGUCAAGGUCCGCACCUGAAUCAAAUCACGCACCUGAAGAAUGAACACGGUGAGAAGUCUUGUUCAGAAAACUUAAAACGUUGAACCCUCGCCGAAAGGUAAAAUCGGUAGUUAUCCAUAUUUAUCCUUUCUGCAUUCCCUUUUCCCUUUAAUUACUUACUUUCCUUAAAUAGCUUAUUAGUUAAUCAUGCUAUCUUGAAAAGAAAAUAAAAAUGUUAAAAAUACUAAGCCCCAUGUGAGUAUGCUCGUGGCAUAAAAGCCAUAAGUACAUUCACUGUGGUGGCAUAAAAAUAAAAUAAAUAUAUUCCUGUUCUAUAGAAAUGAAAAUAUAAAAAUAAAUUUAUGAUCCUACCAAAGAGAGUAAUAUUUAUUAGAGGAAGCUCAACAUGAAAAUGGCUAGGAGAUUUUAUGCUAACACUUAACUAGUUCCACAAAGCUUUGUUUCUAUUUGAGCUCCACAGAAUUCGAAGAAGACUAGCAAACGGAGGACAUUCUAAUCGCUAUCAGGGUGCUGCCGACAUUCAGAUACACCUCCGCCACCUGCUAGCUACAUCAGAAGAAAUUACGUCAAAAUCCAGCUUGGGGGAGAGCACCCCCAUUUAUCCAAGUAAGUGAUUCUACUCAUGUUUAUACUUUACUUAAAUAAUAAAAAAAAUGCAUAAUCAUAAAAAACCCAAAUAAAGAUUUUAUGCUUAUAUAUAUAUCUGUACAUAGUUUGCUAAAUAAAUAAAUAAAUAAAGUUUGCUAUGAACUCUCAUGCUAAGCUCUCACAUGGAAAUGAUGAAUAGUUGCUCUGCCAUGACUAGUUUUCAAAAGUGAAAUCUCUCUCAAGUUUAGGCAUGACUGUUAUGAAUUAAGAUUUGCUCUAAACCUGAACUUGUGGGAAGAGUACUUUAUCUAAAGUCUAAGUCGUUAACGGAUAUGAUAUGGAAAGAUUGAGCUGGUGUUUAUCUGUUCCUAGAGUUGCUAGAAUUCUUGAGAAUUUUAUCUUUGAAAAUCUUUAAAAUGUUGCAUGAUGAGUUCCUGUAUGAUGAGAGUUUAAAAUCCUACCACAGCCAUAUAUACAUGCUUAUUAGACUAUGAACCAUACAUUUACUUUUUACUGCUUAUGAGCAUUGAGUGUGGUCAAGCUGUGUAGACCCUUAGGAGCUUGCCAUGCGGUUAAAAUUAAGAUUCACUUGCACGUUCACUCAUACAUGCUGCUUCUACUCCGGAAGUAUGCAUCCACAUACAUCCACUCCUUUCCAUCUCCAGAUUCACCCAAAAUUAUUCUACUCCUAUCCAGGAGAGAAUAGCCAAAAACAUUAUCAUAUCCCUGUUAUUCCCCGUGAAAUAAAUGCUCAAGAUAUUUUGGUUACUACCACUUGCUACAUUAUUCCAGGAGGGUGAGUGCUCUAAAAAAAAGUAAAUACGAGGAAAUAAAAAGGCGGCAAGUGCCUGGAACCUCGAAGAAAAGAAAAAGUGAGACGAGAGGUAAAAAUGGACAAGUGUCCGACAGUAGAAUUAGGGGUACAAGAUAUCCACCUGAGAGAUAAGAAAAAAAAAUAUAGAGCAUCUCAUUCCCCUCAAAAAGCUUCAAAGUGCAAGAAAGGUAUGUAUUCCCUCCAAAGAGCAGAAGUAGAAUUAGACUUUCACCAUUGUUUUCACCAUUAUCACCAUCAUCACCAUACACCAUUCAUUCGCCACACAUGCACAUCUUGAUUUGACUUAUUGACUUGUUUCUCUGGAUCUAUGGUUUGACUAUGCAAUAAAUGUCUUGUAAGUAUGUAUUAGCUGUCUCCCACCUAUGAGCUCCAGAUAUCAAAACCUUGUUAGAGUAGGGUGAGAGAGAAGUCAAUAUCACUAUGCCUCAUACCACAAAUACUACAUACUUUGAGAGAAGGCGUAUAUCAUCACUGCCUUGGUACGGAUCUAGAAAUACCACAAAAGAGAGACUAGAGAGUGUCAUACAAGGAAUCUCUGAGUUUUAUUUGAAAAUCUGCAAAAACUCCAGAACUAUAGUUGAUCAAAGAACAAGAGACAUGCUGCUUGACUUGACCGUUCUAUCUUUUAACUGCUCAAGACACAAGUGACGGUUGCAAGCCCCG
rnacentral:lncRNA from 1 species